UACGGGGGGGGCAAGCGUUGUUCGGAAUUACUGGGCGUAAAGGGCGCGUAGGUGGCCAACUAAGUCGGACGUGAAAUCCCUCAGCUUAACUGGGGAACUGCGUCCGAUACUGGAUGGCUCGAGUUUGGGAGAGGGAUGCGGAAUUCCAGGUGUAGCGGUGAAAUGCGUAGAUAUCUGGAGGAACACCAGCGGCGAAGGCGGCGCUCUGGGCUGGAACUGACGCUGAGGAGCGAAAGCGUGGGGAGCGAACAGG
rnacentral:rRNA from 1 species